UUGCUGUGGUAUUUUGACUAUACAAAGGUAUUGUAAUAAGGCUUUAAUUGAGCGCUAAGAGAAUGGAUUUUCAAAAAAAUUCUUUUUUGAAUUUAAAAAUUGAAGUUAUUUUUAUUUGUGAAGAAACAACAAUAAAAAUUAAAGACAAGAAGACCCUAUGAAUUUUUUUUAAAACAUAAUUAAUAUUAUAAUUGUGUCUUAAUUAAUUGGGGCGAUUAAAAAAAAUUAUAAACUUUUUAUAAAAAUAAAAUGAUCCACAAAUUGUGAUUUUAUGAAAUAAAUACUCUAGGGAUAACAGCGUAAUAAUUUUAGAUAGAUCAUAUAGAAAAAAUAGUUUGCGACCUCGAUGUUGGAUUAGG
rnacentral:rRNA from 1 species